AUAUUGAAUAAAUUUAUUACGAUCUGUUCUUAUCAGCUUAAUAUCUGAUAUGUUAGGCAAUGCCUAACUCAUAUAUUAAACUGAUUUUUGGACUUCGGCCAUGGGAUUGAAGUGCUUACUUCCAUCCCAGUGUCCUCCUAUUACUGAAACCUCCCUUGAUCCUGUGGUCGCCUUUAGUGGUUGCACU
rnacentral:snRNA from 1 species